UACGAAGGGGGGCGAGCGUUGUUCGGAAUCACUGGGCGUAAAGCGCACGUAGGCGGAUUGUUAAGUCAGGGGUGAAAUCCUGGAGCUCAACUCCAGAACUGCCUUUGAUACUGGCGAUCUCGAGUCCGGGAGAGGUGAGUGGAACUGCGAGUGUAGAGGUGAAAUUCGUAGAUAUUCGCAAGAACACCAGUGGCGAAGGCGGCUCACUGGCCCGGUACUGACGCUGAGGUGCGAAAGCGUGGGGAGCAAACAGG
rnacentral:rRNA from 1 species